CAGGUCUACACAAAACUGGUUUUUGAGGCAGUAGUGUCCCACCAGAUGCAAGCAAUGGGAAAUCAGGAGGAAGACGAGGGAAGCUCAAGCACAAAGCUGUCAGGAUUCAAUGAAGAGACCACAGCUCCAAAUGAGUCACCUCCUUGUAAGAAGAAAGCCUUAGAUGCGCUGUUUGGCGAUUCCUUCACCCAAAGAGAAAGAAAAUCCACAAGCGAGACAGCCAGAGCAGAGGUGUUAAAGUACCGAGCAAAAGAUGCGUUGCCUUUGACUGAAAAUGCCAUGAAGUGGUGGAGAUCUCAGGAGAAAGAGCUACCUGUACUUUCCACCCUUGCUAAACGGUACCUGUGCAUUCCAGGCACCAGUGUGCCAGCAGAACAAGUUUUUAGUACUGCUGGCGACAUAGUGAACGCACAGAGAAGUGUUCUGCAGCCAGAUCAUGUUGAUCAGUUGAUAUUUUUGAAAAAAAAUCUGUAGUCAUUGAAGAGUAGCCUAGUAGGUUACACUUGAUCUUUUGUUGAAUAUUGUUUGUUUAUUAAAAUGAGAGUAGUAGCAGGUUCAUCCACUGCUCAUUC